rnacentral:rRNA from 1 species
UAAGGAGGGGGCUAGCGUUGUUCGGAAUUACUGGGCGUAAAGCGUACGUAGGCGGCUUUGUAAGUUAGAGGUGAAAGCCCGGGGCUCAACUCCGGAAUUGCCUUUAAGACUGCAUCGCUUGAAUCAUGGAGAGGUGAGUGGAAUUCCGAGUGUAGAGGUGAAAUUCGUAGAUAUUCGGAAGAACACCAGUGGCGAAGGCGACUUACUGGACACAUAUUGACGCUGAGGUGCGAAAGCGUGGGGAGCAAACAGG